UACGUAGGGGGCAAGCGUUGUCCGGAUUUAUUGGGCGUAAAGAGCGUGUAGGCGGCCAGAUAGGUCUGGUGUGAAAACUCGAGGCUCAACCUCGAGAGGUCACUGGAAACCAUUUGGCUAGAGUCCGGAAGAGGAGAGUGGAAUUCCUGGUGUAGCGGUGAAAUGCGCAGAUAUCAGGAAGAACACCUAUGGCGAAGGCAGCUCUCUGGGACGGUACUGACGCUGAGACGCGAAAGCUAGGGGAGCAAACGGG
rnacentral:rRNA from 1 species